GUUAUCGUUUAUUUGAUAGUACCUUACUACUUGGAUAACCGUGGUAAUUCUAGAGCUAAUACAUGCUAAAAACCCCGACUUCGGAAGGGGUGUAUUUAUUAGAUAAAAAACCAAUGCCCUUCGGGGCUCCUUGGUGAUUCAUAAUAACUUAACGAAUCGCACGGCCUUGUGCCGGCGAUGGUUCAUUCAAAUUUCUGCCCUAUCAACUUUCGAUGGUAUGGUCUUGGCUUACCAUGGUUUCAACGGGUAACGGGGAAUUAGGGUUCUAUUCCGGAGAGGGAGCCUGAGAAACGGCUACCACAUCCAAGGAAGGCAGCAGGCGCGCAAAUUACCCAAUCCCGACACGGGGAGGUAGUGACAAUAAAUACUGAUACAGGGCUCUUUUGGGUCUUGUAAUUGGAAUGAGUACAAUUUAAAUCCCUUAACGAGGAACAAUUGGAGGGCAAGUCUGGUGCCAGCAGCCGCGGUAAUUCCAGCUCCAAUAGCGUAUAUUAAAGUUGUUGCAGUUAAAAAGCUCGUAGUUGAACCUUGG
rnacentral:rRNA from 1 species